rnacentral:rRNA from 1 species
AUACGGAGGAUCCGAGCGUUAUCCGGAUUUAUUGGGUUUACAGGGUGCGCAGGCGGCCAUUUAAGUCAGCGGUUAAAUCGUGGGGCUCAACCCCAUUCUGCCGUUGAUACUGGGUGGCUUGAUUGCGGUCGAGGUUGGCGGAAUUCGUUGUGUAGCGGUGAAAUGCAUAGAUAUGAUGAAGAACACCGAUUGUGUAGGCAGCUGACCAGACCGCAAAUGACGCUCAUGCACGAAAGUGCGGGGAUCGAACAGGAUUAGAUACCCUGGUAGUCCGCACAGUAAACGAUGAAUACUUGUUUUCGGCGAUAUAAUGUCGGAGGCAAAGCGAAAGCGAUAAGUAUUCCACCUGGGGAGUACGCCGGCAACGGUGAAACUUAAAGGAAUUGACGGGG